AAAAAUGCAGGAUAUAAAUGUAACAAAUAUAUAAAUUAGUCUAUCAUCUAUGUAUCAAUCAAUCAAAACACAAAUGAAACCAUUUUUCACAAUGAGUUCUGAAUCCUGCAUUCUUCUUAUUUCCCCCCGAACAGAACAGAGAGGUUCCUGUAAUGUCCCUAUACGGGUGAGAAAAGAUUGUGGACAUCCAGGAAUAUCUAUAGGAGAUUGUCACAAAAGGGGAUGUUGUUUUAAAAGGGGCCCCCCUCAUUCCAAAUGGUGCUUCUUUCGUAGAUGAGAAGAAUGAAAUGAAAGCAGGAAUCUGGAACCUCCAUAAAGUGAAUCUUAGAAAAGAGAAAAGACACUGGCAUAGCAGAUGAUUUAAACAUUUCCCGCUCCCCAACCCCCACUUGCUUGCUUUUUCUUCUUUUUGCAGCUUUUCUUACAAGAGAUGAGACAAAAUAUCUCCCCCUGAACAUGACUCCCAUAAAUCUCAAUACUCCACACUCCAGAAUCUUGUCCUUCAACAAGAAAUCUAAACUUACCUGACAGUCUCGGCUACAUUUUAAACCUUUGCUGUUACUUUUUAGAAAUUAGAAAUAUAAUUCCUUUCCCUCUGCCUGAAUUAUCCUUAUGAAACUACUUGGUGCAUUAAAGCUAUUGAAGCAUUUCUGAAA